rnacentral:tRNA from 1 species
AAUAAGGUGGCUGAAAUAUAGGCGGUAAAUUGUAAAUUUACAUAUAAGUUUAACUUUCUUAUUA